rfam:Psychroflexus torquis ATCC 700755 1100007023107, whole genome shotgun sequence.
ACCACGAGUUGGUAUAAUAGAGAAGUCAGCCGAAGUCAUAGUAGUUAAUGAGCUGAACAUUAAUGAAGGAC